GUGUAUAUAUUAUAAAGUUAUUAUAUUUGAUUUGCAAUCUUAAGAUUUUUAUACACU
rnacentral:tRNA from 1 species